rnacentral:rRNA from 1 species
GGGAAUCUACCCAUCACUACGGAACAACUCCGGGAAACUGGAGCUAAUACCGUAUACGUCCUUCGGGAGAAAGAUUUAUCGGUGAUGGAUGAGCCCGCGUUGGAUUAGCUAGUUGGUGGGGUAAUGGCCCACCAAGGCGACGAUCCAUAGCUGGUCUGAGAGGAUGAUCAGCCACACUGGGACUGAGACACGGCCCAGACUCCUACGGGAGGCAGCAGUGGGGAAUAUUGGACAAUGGGCGCAAGCCUGAUCCAGCCAUGCCGCGUGAGUGAUGAAGGCCCUAGGGUUGUAAAGCUCUUUCACCGGUGAAGAUAAUGACGGUAACCGGAGAAGAAGCCCCGGCUAACUUCGUGCCAGCAGCCGCGGUAAUACGAAGGGGGCUAGCGUUGUUCGGAAUUACUGGGCGUAAAGCGCACGUAGGCGGACAUUUAAGUCCGGGGUGAAAUCCCGGGGCUCAACCCCGGAACUGCCUUUGAUACUGGGUGUCUUGAGUGUGGAAGAGGUGAGUGGAAUUCCGAGU